rnacentral:rRNA from 1 species
GAGUAAGACCAAGCGGCGGACGGGUGAGUAACGCGUGGGUAACCUGCCCUAUACACAUGGAUAACAUACUGAAAAGUUUACUAAUACAUGAUAAUAUAUAUUUACGGCAUCGUAGAUAUAUCAAAGUGUUAGCGGUAUAGGAUGGACCCGCGUCUGAUUAGCUAGUUGGUGAGAUAACUGCCCACCAAGGCGACGAUCAGUAGCCGACCUGAGAGGGUGAUCGGCCACAUUGGAACUGAGACACGGUCCAAACUCCUACGGGAGGCAGCAGUGGGGAAUAUUGCACAAUGGGCGCAAGCCUGAUGCAGCAACGCCGCGUGAACGAUGAAGGUCUUCGGAUCGUAAAGUUCUGUUGCAGGGGAAGAUAAUGACGGUACCCUGUGAGGAAGCCCCGGCUAACUACGUGCCAGCAGCCGCGGUAAUACGUAGGGGGCUAGCGUUAUCCGGAUUUACUGGGCGUAAAGGGUGCGUAGGUGGUCUUUCAAGUCGGUGGUUAAAGGCUACGGCUCAACUGUAGUUAGCCUCCGAAACUGGAAGACUUGAGUGCAGGAGAGGAAAGUGGAAUUCCCAGUGUAGCGGUGAAAUGCGUAGAUAUUGGGAGGAACACCAGUAGCGAAGGCGGCUUUCUGGACUGCAACUGACACUGAGGCACGAAAGCGUGGGUAGCAAACAGGAUUAGAUACCCUGGUAGUCCACGCUGUAAACGAUGAGUACUAGGUGUCGGGGGUUACCCCCCUCGGUGCCGCAGCUAACGCAUUAAGUACUCCGCCUGGGGAGUACGCACGCAAGUGUGAAACUCAAAGGAAUUGACGGGGACCCGCACAAGUAGCGGAGCAUGUGGUUUAAUUCGAAGCAACGCGAAGAACCUUACCUAAGCUUGACAUCCCUUAGACCGGUGUUUAAUCACACCUUCCCUUCGGGGCUGAGGUGACAGGUGGUGCAUGGUUGUCGUCAGCUCGUGUCGUGAGAUGUUGGGUUAAGUCCCGCAACGAGCGCAACCCUUGUCUUUAGUUGCCAGCAUUCAGUUGGGCACUCUAGAGAGACUGCCAGGGAUAACCUGGAGGAAGGUGGGGAUGACGUCAAAUCAUCAUGCCCCUUAUGCUUAGGGCUACACACGUGCUACAAUGGGUGGUACAGAGGGUUGCCAAACCGUGAGGUGGAGCUAAUCCCUUAAAGCCAUUCUCAGUUCGGAUUGUAGGCUGAAACUCGCCUACAUGAAGCUGGAGUUACUAGUAAUCGCAGAUCAGAAUGUUGCGGUGAAUGCGUUCCCGGGUCU